CCUACGGGAGGCAGCAGUGAGGAAUAUUGGUCAAUGGACGAGAGUCUGAACCAGCCAAGUAGCGUGAAGGAUGACUGCCCUAUGGGUUGUAAACUUCUUUUAUAUGGGAAUAAAAUGUUCCACGUGUGGGAUUUUGUAUGUACCAUAUGAAUACGGAUCGGCUAACUCCGUGCCAGCAGCCGCGGUAAUACGGAGGAUCCGAGCGUUAUCCGGAUUUAUUGGGUUUAAAGGGAGCGUAGGUGGAUUGUUAAGUCAGUUGUGAAAGUUUGCGGCUCAACCGUAAAAUUGCAGUUGAAACUGGCAGUCGUGAGUACAGUAGAGGUGAGCGGAAUUCGUGGUGUAGCGGUGAAAUGCUUAGAUAUCACGAAGAACUCCGAUUGCGAAGGCAGCUCACUGGACUGCAACUGACACUGAGGCUCGAAAGUGUGGGUAUCAAACAGGAUUAGAUACCCUAGUAGUC
rnacentral:rRNA from 1 species